rnacentral:lncRNA from 1 species
UUUAUCCCGGGUGGUGGCUUCCGCUUCCGCUUACGCUUCCGCCUCCGCCGCAGUCUCCUUCUCUCCCGCGCUUGAGCUUAUUAUUCGGUUUGGGUAAUGGUUCGGUUUCUGGGUUGGGUUUGCCGGUAGAAGAAGAAGAAGGAGUGGACGGCGAGGAUGGGGAGUUAAUUAUAUCGCUGGAGUAAGUGGUUGACUCCGAAUUCGAAUCGGCUGCCAUUUUUAACUUUUCCUUAAUUUUGUUGGGGGGGGGUUUUAGGGUAGGUAGAAGUAAAAGCAGAAGAGAUAGGGGGGUAAGAGGAAAAUGAUGGGAGUAUGGAAAGUGAGGAAAUGAGGAAUACAGUGUAAUGGGGGAGGCGAGAGAGAAGGACAAGUAAGUGUAUUUAUAGGCUAAAAGUUGUGAAUGGGGGAGGGAAUAGUUAGAAAAU